GGACUUCUUCUGUGCAAACAAGAGGGAGGCUCUUGUUCUGUCACCCAGGCUGGAAUGUAGUGGGAACUGCCACACCCCUACAACACUUUAGAUCAAAAAAUUUUGAAAGAAAUGUGGAUCU
rnacentral:lncRNA from 1 species